ensembl:lncRNA
CUAGUGACAGCUGUGCUAAUGAGAUAACUCUUAUUAAUUCCUUGCUUACAUGGGAAGGAACUCACCCAGUCUAGAUAAAAUUAUAGUCUUAACUCAGCAAACUUUUUAAAUGCGAAAGCCAAAAGGAGGCCCGACUAGAAGUGGAGGCAUGGGAAAUCUCCUUGGAGCUGGGCCCAUGAGGGAAUCCACUGCUCUGAAUAGGAUGACUUCUGAAGGAUUUGCCAGCUUUGAAAUGGAUCACAGGGAGAUGGGAAUGGAAAAGCAGAGAAACAUGACAGAAACGUGCUCAGCAGUACUCGUGGGACUGGAGACUAACAGAGCUGACAGCAACAAACUAUUUUACAAAACAAGUGGUCUCACCCAUGCAACGCAACCAAAUUAAUUGGAACGAUUGAGACGAACCAAAGCAAAGCCUGAAGUGGAACCCACUGCCAUCAUUUCAAGACCUUUUAUUUCAAGUAACCACGUGGGGAACAUGAUGGUGAUUGCGGCCAGUGUGGAGUGGUUGCCUUCGUCCAACAUGGGCGGAGUGCUGCUGAGCCUGCAGGGCUGAGCCAAAGCUGCUACAGAGACUUCCCAGGCGAUGUCUGAUUGGAAAACUUUGAAUAUGGUCUCCUAUCAUGAGUUAUUACUGCUCCUGAAUGUACAGCACUUAGGAAUACAAAUGGUGGUCUCUGCAGCACAUUUAAAUGGGCUGUGUGUUGUCUGUCCUUUCUCACGUUGUGGAAUGUGUUCCUAUGGGUUCCUCUGUUGGAGAAGCGUGACAUCAUUUUUCAGACAGAAUCGGUGAGGCUUUAAGUUCAGAUACCCGACAGAAUCACAGAACUGUGGAAUCCUUGGGGUUAGAAGGGACCUCUGAAGCUCGCCUAGUCCAGCUCACCUGCACUGAACAGCAACAUGCACGGCUAGGCCAGGAAACGUGGUUGAGACUUCACAUCUUCAGG